rnacentral:siRNA from 1 species
UGUGUGUCUAUCCCUAGGGGUGAA